AUCCUGUUGUAGUUUGCAAACAUGAUGGUUGGGUUUUCAUCCUCAUGUGUGAGGUGUGCCUCCCCUCAAACCUUGUUACAUAGGCACAUUACCUGUCUGACA